UUGCAAUGUAAGUGUAUAUAGAUACUUUCUGGUUAACCAGUACCUCUCUUUACAGUAUUAUUACAACUUGAAUUGUAGUAAACAGACUUGCAAAUAAAGUUGUUGUAGUUGUAUCACUAUGCCAUUCACAAAAAUAAACUCAUGAAUAUACAUGUAAUCAGUUCUCUCAAAUAAUUAUUCAAAUAUUGAUUGCACCUAAUGGAAUAUUAAUAAAUACAGAUGAGGUUUUUUUUUUUCCCCUUUAAUAUUUCUUUCCCAUGUCUACAAGAUUAGUCACUAAACCAGGAAGUGACCAUAGCUUGAGAGAUGGAAAAAUAACUAAGUAAAGGAAAUUUUCCAAGUCAAGCUAUUUUGGCCUAAAAUUUGCAAUUAUUUUGUCAGUUCUUAACAGUUCACAAUUGAGAGAACACCCUUGAUUGUUUAUUGAAUAAUUCCCCAAAACCUAUACUUAUACUAUAUAUUUAUACUAAACCGGCAUUGUCCAAAAUUGCCCCCGAGGUGUUGUUGGAUUAAUGGAUUACAACAAAUGGAGAGCCAAUGUUGGACAUCCCUAUCUGAAACUCUAGCAGGGUUAUUCAAUAACCAAGUACCAACCAGUUUAGGGAAUAAAUCCGGCAUGCGUUCGAUCACUGAUCAAUGAAUUUUGGAGAGAGAUUAGAGAGACAGGGUCUUGAAUGGAGAGAAAAUUAGGAAUAUUAAGAUUGGGGGAGAAUAAAAUAUGACAAUUGAGACUGUGGAUUAUUUAAUUGCAUAAUUAUACAAGGGACUGUAUGUGAUUAGCAUCUUUUUCAAAUGAAACAGGAUAAAUAUAUAUGCUUGUUACAAGUUAUUAAAUUACUAUUUCAAGUCCCUCAGCUGAUAGUAUGGCCCUAUGUCUAUCGCCCCUCGGCUGAUAGUAUAGCCCUAUGACUAUCAUCCGUCGGCUGAUAGAAUGGCCCUAUGUCUAUCGUCCCUCGGCUGUUAGUAUGGCCCUAUGUCUAUCGUCCCUCGGCUGAUAGUAUGGCCCUAUGUCUAUCGUCCCUCGGCUGAUAGUAUGGCCCGAUGUCUAUCGUCCCUCGGCUGAUAAUAUGGCCCUAUGACUAUCGUCACUCGGCCGAUAGUAUGGCCCUAUGACUAUCGUUGACUAUUGGAUGGAGGAGAGCUGUGCCACCACUGACACAUAUUAAUGCGCUACUUAACUGGCAACAUUACAUCCACCUAGAAAGCAAGAAGGAACUAGAUGGGCUCAUUAAACCAAUGCUCUAUAAAUCUGUCUCCAGGAUGUCAGCAUAUAUGCUUACAAAGCGGAGUUUAUUUUUGGCUUUUUCCAUUUUAAAACACCUGAUAACUAGUUCGAAUGUCUUCCGGCCUGGCCUGGUGGUGGGUCCCAUGGACAGAUUUGGGGGGGGUGGGGAACUGCAUUAGACUACAAGUAACAAAAUAUCUAAAAGCCUUAUGGUUAUUGUAUAUCUCAACAAAAUUAAUUACUCUUAAUGUGCAUCUUUUUCAGACAUCUUUGCAUUGCAAUUAAGUAAAUCACAGUAAAAAUAUUAAAUUUCUGCAUAUAAUGUAAUUAAAAUUAGCAUUUUCAAGCACUUAAAAAAAAAUGUUGUAAAAUCUAUUAUAGCGUGUGCGUAAGAAUAUUUAUGAUAUUAAGACUUGUAAUGUGUAUUUAAGCCAAGUCUGGCGUUAGUCAGCGAUGACUAUAAAGCUUAUGUGUGCGUUGGCACAGCCCAGUUGGAUUUUAAUGCAAUCUUAAAGCAUGAAAGAACCGUGACCCAGAAAAACAAACAUGAAUACUCCUUCUGUAAAACAGAGAAUUAAAAUCGUGCAAUUAUCUAUAUAUGUUGGAACGUAAACAUGGCUUGAAAUACUCCUCUUUGCUUUGCCCAUGAUAAUGCCUCUAGGUUUGGUUCCAGGAAGUUCUGAAAAUGACUGCCUUCUCCAUCCAGCUCAUGGUUCCAGUUUAAAUACCCAUUCAUGUGGCACAUAAUAAAUGCAUUUCGCAAAGAAAAGUUAGUCAAUAAAACUACCCAUUCCCCCCACAGCGUCUCAGGGAUGCUAGGAGCACUAAAUUCAGUUUAUCCCAGCCAUGGGUGCUCCAGUAUCCCAGUGAUGGACUGACCCCUGAGAUAUGUCUGAUCCCCUCCUAAGCCUUAGGAUAUCUCUGGAAUUAAGCCAUUGAUGUCAAGCUCCAUGGUUUCUGUGGGGUCCAGUGAGAGCAGAAACACCCUCCCUCGAACUGUCCCAUACCCAGUGAGUUGGUGCCAGUCCUGACUUUGCCCAGGUGCCAGUGAGAUGAUGUGAUGCCAGGUUAUCCAGUGCCAGUCAGUUCCCAGGUGGAAUCUCAGGAACACUCUUAGAACGUUGUGACAUCGUCUGAAGAAACUCG